rnacentral:rRNA from 1 species
GAGGUUGGCUUAGAAGCAGCCAUUCCUUUAAAGAGUGCGUAAUAGCUCACUGGUCGAGUCGGUUUGCGCGGAAGAUUUAACGGGGCUAAAACUACAUACCGAAGCUACGGAUCAUAAUUUAUUAUGAUGGUAGGAGAGCGUUCUGUAAGCCGUUGAAGGUGUCCUGUGAGGGAUGCUGGAGGUAUCAGAAGUGCGAAUGCUGACAUGAGUAACGAUAAAGGGGGUGAAAAACCCCCUCGCCAGAAGUCCAAGGUUUCCUACGCAACGUUAAUCGGCGUAGGGUUAGUCGGCCCCUAAGGCGAGGCAGAAAUGCGUAGUCGAUGGGAAACAGGUUAAUAUUCCUGUACUUCAUAUAACUGCGAUGGGAAGACGGAGAAGGUUAGCUCAGCAAGGCGAUGGUUGUCCUUGUUCAAGCGUGUAGAAAUGGUUCUUAGGAAAAUCCGGGAACCUCUAUUUCAAGGCGUGAUAACGAGCCCUCUUUUGGGCGAAGUGAGUGAUACCAUGCUUCCAGGAAAAUCCUCUAAGCUAUAGGUUAUAUGAAACCGUACCCCAAACCGACACAGGUGGACGAGAUGAGAAUUCUAAGGCGCUUGAGAGAACUCGGGUGAAGGAACUAGGCAAAAUGACACCGUAACUUCGGGAGAAGGUGUGCUCUUUGUAGGUGAAAUCACUAGCUGAUGAAGCUGAAAAGAGUUGAAGAAACCAGGUGGCUCCGACUGUUUAUUAAAAACACAGCACUCUGCAAACACGUAAGUGGACGUAUAGGGUGUGACGCCUGCCCGGUGCUUGAAGGUUAAUUGAUGAGGUUAGGAUUUAUCCGAAGCUUUUGAUCGAAGCCCAAGUAAACGGCGGCCGUAACUAUAACGGUCCUAAGGUAGCGAAAUUCCUUGUCGGGUAAGUUCCGACCUGCACGAAUGGCGUAACGAGGGCCACACUGUCUCCACCCGAGACUCAGUGAAAUUGAAAUUGCUGUUAAGAUGCAGUAUACCCGCGGCCAGACGGAAAGACCCCGUGCACCUUUACUACAGCUUUGCAUUGAACUCUGAUCCUACCUGUGUAGGAUAGGUGGGAGACUUUGAAACUUUAACGCUAGUUAGAGUGGAGUCAUCCUUGAAAUACCACCCUGGUAUGGUUGGGGUUCUAACCUUGGUCCGUUAUCCGGAUUGGGGACAAUGCAUGGUGGGUAGUUUGACUGGGGCGGUCUCCUCCCAAAGAGUAACGGAGGAGCGCAAAGGUACCCUCAGCACGGUCGGACAUCGUGCAAUGAGCGCAAAGGUAAAAGGGUGCUUGACUGCGAGACUGACACGUCGAGCAGGUAGGAAACUAGGUCUUAGUGAUCCGGUGGUUCUGAGUGGAAGGACCAUCGCUCAACGGAUAAAAGGUACGCCGGGGAUAACAGGCUGAUACCGCCCAAGAGUUCACAUCGACGGCGGUGUUUGGCACCUCGAUGUCGGCUCAUCACAUCCUGGGGCUGAAGCAGGUCCCAAGGGUAUGGCUGUUCGCCAUUUAAAGUGGUACGCGAGCUGGGUUUAGAACGUCGUGAGACAGUUCGGUCCCUAUCUACCGUGGGCGUUGGAGACUUGAGGGAAGCUGUUCUUAGUACGAGAGGACCGGAAUGGACACACCUCUGGUGUUUCGGUUAUGACGCCAGUCGUAUUGCCGAGUAGCUAUGUGUGGAAAGGAUAACCGCUGAAAGCAUCUAAGCGGGAAGCCCCUCCCAAGAUUAGGUCUCCCUGACAGUUUAACUGUCCUAAAGAUCCCUCGGAGACUACGAGGUUGAUAGGCACGGUGUGGAAGAGUAGUGAUACUUGAAGCUAACGUGUACUAAUUGAUCGUGAGGCUUGACCAU